UGUCAUAAAUAUAAAGGGAAGGGUAAACCCCUUUGAAAUCCCCCCUGGCCAGGGGAAAGCUCCUCUCACCUGUAAAGGGUUAAGAAGCUAAAGGCAGGUGAUUUCUGGUGCAUGGAUGGAGAUGAACAGAAAGCUGGACAUGUCUCAGAUCUGCCACAGCUACCAGUCAAACCCGGACCUUCAACUGCACUCUGAUGGGACACAGGAGGAACAUGGAUCUGGCUACAGGAGAUGGUCUUUCAGACACCACCACCACCACCAAGCGACUGAAACGCUGAUCAAAGGGGAGAGCCUGACUGAAAAGUAACCAGCCACCUGUGGUGAGAAGCAUCUAAGUUUUUAAGGACAUAGAAAGUGUUAAGAUCAGCUUAGAAUGUUUUGCUUUUAUUUCGUUUGACCAAAUCUGACUUGCUAUGCUUUGACUUAUAAUCGCUUAAAAUCUAUCUUUAUAGUUAAUAAAUCUGUUUG